GACAGAGGGUGCAAACGUUGCUCGGAAUUACUGGGCGUAAAGCGCGUGUAGACGGAUUGGUGUGUCAGAUGUGAAAUCCCUGGGCUCAACCCAGGAACUGCACCUGAAACUACCAGUCUUGAGUGGUGGAGAGGGAAGUGGAAUUCCUGGUGUAGAGGUGAAAUGCGCAGAUAUCAGGAGGAACACCAAUGGCGAAGGCAGCUCGCUGGGACGGUACUGACGCUGAGACGCGAAAGCGUGGGGAGCAAACAGG
rnacentral:rRNA from 1 species